rnacentral:misc_RNA from 1 species
AAGUCGUAACAAGGUUUCCGUAGGUGAACCUGCGGAAGGAUCAUUAACCUUUCAAAUCAGGGUGCGGCGCGGCCCCCGAGGAGCGGAAACAAUCCUUGGGAGGUAUGCGGGGGCUUCGAGCCCCCCAUUUACGCACGCACGACUGCCAUCCUUACUUUACGAGCACCUUCUGUUCUCCCUCGGCGGGGCAACCUGCCGUUGGAACCGAACAAACUCUUUUUGCAUCUAGCAUUACCUGUUCCGAAACAAACAAUCGUUACAACUUUCAACAAUGGAUCUCUUGGCUCUG